rnacentral:rRNA from 1 species
UAUCCCCUUGUUCACCUUCGGCCCGCCGCCAGUCCGCUACACUGCCCCUCCUGAAUUCCUCCUCCGCCCGCCGGAGCCUGCUGCGACGAGCUUCCACCCCCCCUUGCGUCAGCUAGCCUUCUCCUCCGCUUCCCACAAAGAGCAAUUCGCCUCUCUUGCGCACCAUCAGUUGCCCUUGAGCAAUCGCCCCGCCGGCCGCCGGUCCUUGUGCGCCCACCAGAUGCUCGUGAUAUUUCCGUAAUGGCCUUCGCAAUGCGCCUAGCGUCCUGCCCCGGCGCGUCGCUGCAGGCGGCGACGGCCUGGCCGUCCAGCCUCGGCUCCGCGGCGCCACGGCCGCGGCCUCGCCGGCGGUGGCCACGCAUCAGGUCGUCCGCGGCCGCCUCCGACCAGCAGGCGCUUCUGGCCGCCCUGCGCGAGCAGGCGGACCCCGAGGCGGCGCUCCGGAUGCUCAACUCGGCGCUCGCGCGGGACGACUUCGCCCCCGGCCGCGACGUCUACGAGGAGAUCAUCCGGAAGCUCGGGACCGCCGGCGCCUUCGACCUGAUGAAGGUGCUCGUCAGGGAGAUGCGCCAGGAAGGGCACCAGGUUGGACCGGGCGUGGUGCAGUCGUUCAUAGAGGGCUACGCGCGGCUGCACAUGUUCGAUGAUGCCUUCGACUUGGUUCUCAACCAGCUUGACAUGUUCGGCAUUCAGGGAGACGCAGUGGUGGUGGCGUACAAUCACCUUCUCCGUGUUCUCAUGGAGGGGAGUAAGAUCAAGCUCCUUGAAUCCGUCUACACGGAGAUGGGCAAUAGGGGCAUCAAACCUGACCUUGUCACUUACAACACAGUGAUCAAUGCGUUGUGUGGAGUUCAUCAGGUUAGGACUGCAGUUCUGAUGCUGGAGGACAUGUCUAGCGAUGGUGUGGCGCCUAACGAGGUGACAUUCACUACGUUGAUGCAAGGUUUUGUUGAGGAGGGGAGCAUCGAGGCAGCACUGAGGAUGAAGGCACGGAUGUCAGAAAUGGGAUGUUCGCCAACGAGUGUAACAGUCAAUGUUUUGAUUAACGGGUACUGCAAGCUUGGAAGAGUCGAGGAUGCUCUCAGUUAUGUACAGCAAGAGAUCGCAGAUGGUUUUGAACCUGACCAGGUCACAUUCACUACAUUUGUUAAUGGUCUGUGCCAAAACGGGCAUGUUGAUCAUGCCCUCAAAGUCAUGGAUUUGAUGCUCCAGCAGGGUAGUGAUCCAGAUGUUUUCACCUACACUACUGUUGUAAACUGCUUGUGUCAAAUUGGAGAACUUGAUGAGGCUGUGGCAAUCAUAAAUCAGAUGGUGGAUAGCGGUUGUUUGCCUGACAUUACCACCUUCAAUACUCUCAUUGUUGCCUUAUGCACAGAGAAUCAUCUUGAGGAAGCCUUGAACCUUGCACGUGAUCUGACGGUGAAGGGACUCUCUCCAAAUGUUUAUACUUUCAACAUUUUGAUAGAUGCCCUUUGCAAGGUUGGAGAUCCUCAUCUUGCUGUUCGAUUGUUUGAAGAGAUGAAAAGCAGUGGAUGCACCCCUGAUGAACUUACAUACAAUAUAUUGAUUGAUAACCUGUGCUCAUCGGGGAAGCUUGCCAAAGCUUUGGAUUUGUUGAAGGAGAUGGAAGUUAGUGGUUGUCCUCUGAGCACAGUGACAUAUAACACUAUAAUUGAUGGGUUAUGCAAGAAACUGAGAAUAGAAGAAGCAGAGGAGGUUUUUGAUCAAAUGGAUGUAACAGGUAUUGAAAGGAAUGCGAUCACAUUCAAUACACUUGUUGAUGGAUUGUGCAUGGCCGAAAGGAUUGACGAUGCAGCAGAACUUAUUGAACAAAUGAUAAGUGAAGGGUUGCAACCUAAUAAUAUCACUUACAAUUCUAUUCUAACUCAUUACUGCAAGCAAGGAAACAUAGGUAAAGCUGCUGAUGUUUUACAAACUAUGACCGCAAAUGGAUUUGAAGUUGAUGUUGUUACAUAUGCAACACUCAUUAAUGGCCUGUGCAAGGCUCGUCGGACUCAGGCUGCUUUGAAGCUUCUUAGAGGUAUGCGGAUGAAAGGGAUGAGGCCAACUCCAAAAGCCUUCAACCCUGUGAUUCAGUCUCUAUUUAGAGGGAAUAACGGCAGGGAUGCUCUGAAUCUGUAUAGGGAGAUGACAGAAGUUGGCGAGCCUCCUGAUGCUUUGACAUAUAAAAUUGUUUUCCGUGGUCUCUGUCGUGGUGGUGGCCCUAUUAAAGAAGCUUUUGAUUUCUUGGUAGAGAUGGCAGAUAAGGGUUUCAUACCAGAGUUUUCAUCAUUCCGCAUGCUAGCUGAUGGUCUACUGAACCUGGGUAUGGAUGAUUACCUCAUAAGUGCUAUUGAACUAAUUGCAGAGAAGGCCAACUUCAGAGAAUCCGAUGUUUCUGCAAUAAGGGGUUAUCUCAGGAUCCGUAAAUUUUAUGAUGCAUUAGCAACUUUUGGCCGUCUCCUGGAUAUCAACAACCCUCGAUGGACUUAUCGAUGAAACAUGAGAAAGUAGUAUCUGGGAAAGUACUGAGUACGUGAAAAUUUUGCUGGUUAGUUCAUCAGGAUAGAUCUUGUUUAAUUACGAAUAGAUGACUAUGCUUGUUACUUGGUGGGGAUGAACUUUGCAUGUAGAAGAUGCUUAUCUUGGUAUUGAAACUCGCGGGAAUUGUUUAUCACCAUUUCCACUGUGAACCCUGUUUUUUGAGUUUUAUAUUUUAAGGGUACUAAUGUCAGAUUAUUUUGCCGCUUUUUCAACUAAGUGUUCGUUUAUCAUUCUAUUAUGUCUUCACGUAAUUAUGUUUUUCAUACUGGUUACAGCUAAAAAUGUCAGCAGCAACUUAUAUUCUAACUAAAGAAUUAUACAGUGCCGCAUCUCUUUCCAUGAACAGGCUGAGAACACAGGCGCAUAGGCGCUUCAGAUUUAGCUUGUGAAUGUACCAUUACCAAAGAUGAUUUUACGCGGCCAGAAAGAGGGGACCAAUUUAAGAUGCCAAGUUGAGCAAUGUUGUACACGUGUACAUAUCUAUUGGUAAGGUUCUGCACAUAGAUACCUGUAUAUUCGAUCAUUGCACAAAUUGUAGACUACCAUAUGAACUCUGGUAGCCAUCAGUUGUACAUGAAUAAUGUGGAUGCUUUAGAGCAAUCCUCAAGGAACAAGCGGCCAUGGAUUCCUAACAAACAGC